rnacentral:rRNA from 1 species
UACGGGGGGGGCAAGCGUUGUUCGGAAUUACUGGGCGUAAAGGGCUCGUAGGCGGCCGCUUAAGUCAGACGUGAAAUCCCUCGGCUCAACCGGGGCACUGCGUCUGAGACUGAAUGGCUUGAAUCCGGGAGAGGGAUGCGGAAUUCCAGGUGUAGCGGUGAAAUGCGUAGAUAUCAGGAAGAACAUCGGUGGCGAAGGCGCUCUGCUGGACCAUAACUGACACUCAGGGACGAAAGCUAGGGGAGCGAAUGGG